UUCAGUAGAAGAUAUCAUAUCUAAUUUAAAUCUUGUAAUGACUAAUUAGGCCAUUAAAAAAGUUUCAUGUUGAUAUGACACUAGACGUACUCCAAAGAUGUUACACUAUUUUGAACCAAGUUAUCAUACUAUUGCUUUAGUUUCAAAAGGUACUAAGAGUUUACGACUUGAUAAAGGAAUGAAUUUGAAAACUGACGAAGGUUUUCUUACUCUGACUGUACACAC